GGUCGUAUGGCCGAGUGGUCUAAGGGUUAGUCUUUUCUUCCGCGUUUUAAUGAAAUCAAACGGACUCUAACAUUGUCUGAAGCGGCACAUUUAAGCUGUGCUAUCCGAGAGGAUGCGUGCGUUCGAACCGCACUGCGACCA